rnacentral:rRNA from 1 species
UACGUAGGGGGCAAGCGUUGUCCGGAUUUAUUGGGCGUAAAGAGCGUGUAGGCGGUUUGGUAGGUCCGCUGUGAAAACUCGAGGCUCAACCUCGAGACGCCGGUGGAAACCAUCAGACUAGAGUCCGGAAGAGGAGAGUGGAAUUCCUGGUGUAGCGGUGAAAUGCGCAGAUAUCAGGAAGAACACCGUGGCUAAGGCGGCUCUCUAGUACGGUACUGACGCUGAGACGCGAAAGCGUGGGGAGCGAACAGG